GUUGAACGCUGGCGGCAGGCCUAACACAUGCAAGUCGAAUGGUAACAGGAAACAGCUUGCUGUUUCGCUGACGAGUGGCGGACGGGUGAGUAAUGUCUGGGAAACUGCCUGAUGGAGGGGGAUAACUACUGGAAACGGUAGCUAAUACCGCAUAACGUCGCAAGACCAAAGAGGGGGACCUUCGGGCCUCUUGCCAUCAGAUGUGCCCAGAUGGGAUUAGCUAGUAGGUGGGGUAACGGCUCACCUAGGCGACGAUCCCUAGCUGGUCUGAGAGGAUGACCAGCCACACUGGAACUGAGACACGGUCCAGACUCCUACGGGAGGCAGCAGUGGGGAAUAUUGCACAAUGGGCGCAAGCCUGAUGCAGCCAUGCCGCGUGUAUGAAGAAGGCCUUCGGGUUGUAAAGUACUUUCAGCGGGGAGGAAGGGAGUAAAGUUAAUACCUUUGCUCAUUGACGUUACCCGCAGAAGAAGCACCGGCUAACUCCGU
rnacentral:rRNA from 1 species